UACGUAGGGCGCAAGCGUUAUCCGGAAUUAUUGGGCGUAAAGAGCUCGUAGGCGGUUUGUCGCGUCUGCCGUGAAAGUCCGGGGCUCAACUCCGGAUCUGCGGUGGGUACGGGCAGACUAGAGUGAUGUAGGGGAGACUGGAAUUCCUGGUGUAGCGGUGAAAUGCGCAGAUAUCAGGAGGAACACCGAUGGCGAAGGCAGGUCUCUGGGCAUUAACUGACGCUGAGGAGCGAAAGCAUGGGCAGCGAACAGG
rnacentral:rRNA from 1 species